CCCCGCAGGGACCCCGGGCGCCUCCCAGCGCAGCGCGCCGGGCCCGCGGGGCCCUGAGAACGGGAGGGGAAAUCGGUCGCUGGCCCCGGGCCGUGGGUCGGAAGUUUAGGGAAAUGGCAGCUCCACGCACACAGGCCGACCGCAGGGAAAAUGUUGUGGUUUCUCAGCGUAAAGGGGG